rnacentral:lncRNA from 1 species
UAAAUACUAUUAUAGGUGUCAUAACAUUAGGAAUAAAGAUUGUUUUGAUUGAUAUGAAAAUAGAAAAAAAGAGUUUUCCACUCCAUUUGUAAAAUUAAGUGAUAUAAGCCAAAAUGAUAAAAAGAAAAGGUCCAAUAAAUAUAUAGAAGGAUCAUCUUUUCUGUCCGACAUCUUAGCGAGGCUGCAGGGGUGGCUGUUGUUCUCCAAGCUUUGCUAUGCCACCCAAGGAUGACAAGAAGAAGAAAGAUGCCAGAAAGACAGCCAAAAAGGACAAAGACCCAGUGAACAAAUCUGGAGGCAAGGACAAAAAGAAGGACUUAUUAAACUGGUUUCAAAGCACAGAGCUCAAGUAAUUUACACCAGAAACACCAAGGGUGGAGAUGCCCCAGCUCCUGGUGAAGAUGCAUGAGCAAGAUCCCACCAACUGCACUUUUUGGAAAAUAAAACUUUAUUAAAUUAAAAAAACUAGAGAGAAGGAGCAGUUAAGGAGUAAGAAAUUCAAGAGUCCAUAAUUAAGAAAAAGUUGAUUAGCUGUUCAGGUGAUGAAGAGAGAGUUGAGUAAACAAUCUUUAAAAACAAUGAUACCAGGUAUUCUUAUCUUCUGCAGAGGGCAAUUCAAGACAAAAUUUAUUUUGAGAUGUUGAUACAUGACUUAGACCAAUGUAACAAAUAAUUCUUCUCAAGAAUGUUAAUUAAACAAAGCUUACCCAGGUUGCUUCUGGACAGGGUAUUUAGGUUUCUUAAUUCUAGAAUGAUUUGAAUAUAGUUUGUUUUCCCAGAAUGUGUGCCUGUGACACCUGAAUUUUCUACCUUCAUUUUUGCCCAUUGCUUGCUCUUUUGUUCUAUCUAAAUGAAUUUGGGGUUGGGAGCAAGAUAAUGACCUUAGAACACCCUGAACUCACCUACUCCCCAAAACAUACAAAAUUUUACCUAUUUACAGAGCAAUUCUUCUUAAAUAAGAACUGAGGGCCUUCUGAACAGCUUCUGCAUAACAAAAGAUAGAAUGGCAAAGAGAAUAGCAAGAGAGACAGACACUUGGAGACUUAGAGACUCAGUAACAAAGGGAACCCCCAUACCCAAUGCUGCAAGCCACAGUCGGAAGGGACAGUACUGAGGGAACAUAUUCCUCUGUCCUUAUGCACAGAAAAAAAAGCCUCUUUAAAAGAACAAGUAGCAUAUAAAUGAGACAGCUCUAAAACUUCACCAAAUG